AGCGAAGUGGAGCAGCGGUCAGCUCGCCGGCCUCAUAAGCCGUAGGUCACGGGUUCGAAUCCCGUCUUCGCAACCA
rnacentral:tRNA from 1 species